rnacentral:lncRNA from 1 species
AUGAAGGGAGUUGUAAAGCUGUGUACAAGCAAAACAGACCUGGAGAAGCAAUACUUGCAGAUAAAUAUGAUGACAUUUUCCCUGUGGAAGGCUCAUUAUAAAUCAAUCACAAUCAGAUGUCUCUGCAGAAGCGACCAGCAUAAAGAGACAGCCUGGCUUUCCUCAAUCAAGUCAAAAAGGAAUGAAUAUGCUUCACCUCUGAGACACUCUAAAUGAAUACCAAAAUAACAUAAUUUUAAACUGAACUCUGGAUAUACCUAUGUACUCUUGAGAGAAAUAUGGGUUUCACUGUUGUCUCCCUGAGAAUUCUUUUAGCUUUGACUACACGCCUUGUAAAUAGGUUCACAUAAAAAAGGAUGCAGCUUUGCUUACUCUGUGUAAACAAAACUAGUCCAUGUGGUUGACAACAGUUUUGCUUAUAUAUGUGUAAGAUUUCUAUUGACUGACAGCUUUGUUUCCAAGUGCCACAGAAAGACUGGGGAAGCUCUCCGUUUGUCUUGUUUAGUAAGGCAAUCUUAGAGACUUUUAGGAUCAGAAAUAGUUUUCUUGCUUUGUAUUGGUGACUGUAAAUCAAUAUUGAUACAAAAUACAACUACUGCCAUAGUGAAAAAUAAGGGAAGCGUAAGCAAGCCUUUUCAUUUUCAGGAACACAACUACAAAACAUCUCAAGCAGCAGUUUCCAUGUACUUUUUAAUUAUCCAAAUGUAGGUAUUGACACCAGUUUUUAGAACACUGAAAAAAUAACAUCAGUAAGAAAAAAAGCGGGAUUACCCAACUGUCUUUCUUUAGUCCUUCUUCAAAGAUCAACUGUAACUAGUUUAGAUUAGGUUGAAUAAUAUCAUAUAUUUAGUAAAUUAGGUACACAUAAAUACUGAAGGUAACUACAACUGAGCUAAAGGUAUUUAUAAGUAAUCUUCAUAGAUAAAGACAAAACAUUUAUGUUGUAAUUGUAAGUUAAAUUCAUUAUUACAUUCAGUGCAUUAUACUCAUUAAUCAGAUGCAUAUUAAAAAGUAUAUAAGCAUGAUAGUCAUUGCCUAACAAAGAGGAAUUGACAUUAAUAACAGAAGAGGACUUCGACAGAUAUAUAACAAUUUGGUUAGUUAAAAAUUGGUUCAGGCAAAGACGGUAACAAUUUCUACUCCAGAAGUAAACAAUAUUCUCAAUUUCAAAAGGACAAGCUUUGAAAAACCAGAGAACUUACUUGUGAAGUAAGGGACUGAGGAAUUCGAAUAAUGAGGAUAAUAUAAUUAAGUGAAAAGGAUAAAAGUAUAUGGACUUUGUGUCUCAAGAAAGCAGAAAAAGUUCUACUAAAGAGAACUAGUUAAAUAAAUAACCACAAGCAAAACCCA